GACGAACGCUGGCGGCGUGCUUAACACAUGCAAGUCGAACGGAAAGGCCCUGCUUUUGUGGGGUGCUCGAGUGGCGAACGGGUGAGUAACACGUGAGUAACCUGCCCUUGACUUUGGGAUAACUUCAGGAAACUGGGGCUAAUACCGGAUAGGAGCUCCUGCUGCAUGGUGGGGGUUGGAAAGUUUCGGCGGUUGGGGAUGGACUCGCGGCUUAUCAGCUUGUUGGUGGGGUAGUGGCUUACCAAGGCUUUGACGGGUAGCCGGCCUGAGAGGGUGACCGGCGGGAGUGGGAGUGAGGGACGGCGGGGAGGCGUACGGGGGGGAACGGGGGGGGGGAUGGCAGAAGGGGCGGAGGUCUGACGCAGCAUCGGCGUGUGCGGGAGGGUGGGAGGCGGGAUGUGAAAGGGAGGCGCCUGCGACGGAGCGGGAGGGACGGUCAUGGAUAAUGAGAAACCGGCGAGGUGCAUG
rnacentral:rRNA from 1 species